GACGAACGCUGGCAGCGUGCUUAACACAUGCAAGUCGAACGGAAAGGCCCUGCUUUUGUGGGGUGCUCGAGUGGCGAACGGGUGAGUAACACGUGAGUAACCUGCCCUUGACUUUGGGAUAACUUCAGGAAACUGGGGCUAAUGCCGGAUAGGAGCUCCUGCUGCAUGGUGGGGGUUGGAAAGUUUCGGCGGUUGGGGAUGGACUCGCGGCUUAUCAGCUUGUUGGUGGGGUAGUGGCUUACCAAGGCUUUGACGGGUAGCCGGCCUGAGAGGGUGACCGGCCACAUUGGGACUGAGAUACGGCCCAGACUCCUACGGGAGGCAGCAGUGGGGAAUAUUGCACAAUGGGCGGAAGCCUGAUGCAGCAACGCCGCGUGCGGGAUGACGGCCUUCGGGUUGUAAACCGCUUUCGCCUGUGACGAAGCGUGAGUGACGGUAAUGGGUAAAGAAGCACCGGCUAACUACGUG
rnacentral:rRNA from 1 species